UGCAGUCGAGCGCAUCCUUCGGGAUGAGCGGCGGACGGGUUAGUAACGCGUGGGAACGUGCCCUUCUCUAAGGAAUAGCCACUGGAAACGGUGAGUAAUACCGUAUACGCCCUUCGGGGGAAAGAUUUAUCGGAGAAGGAUUGGCCCGCGUUAGAUUAGAUAGUUGGUGGGGUAACGGCCUACCAAGUCUACGAUCUAUAGCUGGUUUUAGAGGAUGAUCAGCAACACUGGGACUGAGACACGGCCCAGACUCCUACGGGAGGCAGCAGUGGGGAAUCUUAGACAAUGGGCGCAAGCCUGAUCUAGCCAUGCCGCGUGUGUGAUGAAGGCCUUAGGGUCGUAAAGCACUUUCGCCAGGGAUGAUAAUGACAGUACCUGGUAAAGAAACCCCGGCUAACUCCGUGCCAGCAGCCGCGGUAAUACGGAGGGGGUUAGCGUUGUUCGGAAUUACUGGGCGUAAAGCGUACGUAGGCGGAUCAGAAAGUAGGGGGUGAAAUCCCAGGGCUCAACCCUGGAACUGCCUCCUAAACUCCUGGUCUUGAGUUCGAGAGAGGUGAGUGGAAUUCCAAGUGUAGAGGUGAAAUUCGUAGAUAUUUGGAGGAACACCAGUGGCGAAGGCGGCU
rnacentral:rRNA from 1 species